GAUGAACGCUAGCGGCAGGCUUAACACAUGCAAGUCGAGGGGUAGAGGCUUUCGGGCCUUGAGACCGGCGCACGGGUGCGUAACGCGUAUGCAAUCUACCUUGUACUGGGGGAUAGCCCAGAGAAAUUUGGAUUAAUACCCCAUAGUAUUUUCGGUUGGCAUCAACUGAUUAUUAAAGUUUUGCGGUACAAGAUGAGCAUGCGUCCCAUUAGCUAGUUGGUAUGGUAACGGCAUACCAAGGCUACGAUGGGUAGGGGUCCUGAGAGGGAGAUCCCCCACACUGGUACUGAGACACGGACCAGACUCCUACGGGAGGCAGCAGUGAGGAAUAUUGGUCAAUGGUCGCAAGACUGAACCAGCCAUGCCGCGUGCAGGAUGAAGCAUCUAUGGUGUGUAAACUGCUUUUGUACGGGAAGAAACACUCCUACGUGUAGGGGCUUGACGGUACCGUAAGAAUAAGGAUCGGCUAACUCCGUGCCAGCAGCCGCGGUAACAC
rnacentral:rRNA from 1 species